rnacentral:rRNA from 1 species
AUGUCGGGAUCCUCCGUCGUGUGGCCGCACACGCGCGCAGCCCUCCUCCACCGCCCAGCCGACAAGGCCCAUCGUGACGGCCAGCCCAGGCUGCUCCCCGCCGCGGCAUGGAGGUGGCGGUGUAUGAGGUGGUGCUGCGGCGCGGACGGUGAUGGAGGAGGCGGUGUACGAGGUGGUGCUGCGGCAGGCCACCUAGGGUUUGCGCCUCCUCCCUCCGCCCCCAUCACACAAGCCGCAUCGAGGAGGACGACGCCGACCUCGGACCGUCGGAAGCACCAUGGAGAAGUACGAGAAGCUGGAGAAGGUCGGGGAGGGCACCUACGGCAAGGUGUACAAGGCGCAGGACAAGGCGACGGGCCAGGUGGUGGCGCUCAAGAAGACCCGCCUGGAGAUGGACGAGACGACGAAGGGAUCCCGACCACCGCGCUCCGUGAGAUCUCCCUCCUCCGCCUCCUCUCCAGCUCCCUCUACAUCGUCCGCCUCCUCGCCGUCGAGCAGGCCACCAAGGGCGGCGGCGCUGGCGGUGGAGGGAAGCCCGUCCUCUACCUCGUCUUCGAGUUCCUUGACACUGACCUCAAGAAGUUUGUCGACGCCUACUGCCGUGGGCCUGCCCCUAAGCCGCUCCCAACUCAGGUCGUCAAGGCACUUGAGCUAUUUACAGAAGAAGGGACCCGGCCUUCUUCAUGUCUUGUGGUAGUGUCUUCCUUUGAUUCAUUCGUGCAACAAAGAGGGGACCUGGCCUUCUUCACGUCUCGUGCAAAAAGGGUGAUUGACACUGACUACGACAGCCUGGUGGGCGUCGUGCUCUUCAACUACUUAGAGGUGGACUUCGACGUGAAGCCCAGCGACCGCGUCGCACGGAUGAUCGUCCAUGUGAUCACUCAUGGCACGGUGGAGGACCUCGACGCCAUCUUUCAGGGUGAGGGAGGAUCCGGGUCCUCCGGCGUCUGA